rnacentral:rRNA from 1 species
CGUGUAGGCGGCCGAUCAAGUCCGGUGUGAAAGCCCGAGGCUCAGCUUCGGAAGUGCAUCGGAAACUAGCCGGCUCGAGCGCGAUAGAGGAGGGUGGAAUUCCUGGUGUAGCGGUGAAAUGCGUAGAUAUCAGGAGGAACACCGGCGGCGAAGGCGGCCCUCUGGAUCGUUGCUGACGCUGAGACGCGAAAGCGUGGGGAGCAAACAGGAUUAGAUACCCUGGUAGUCCACGCUGUAAACGAGUGGGUACUAGGUGUUUGGGGUGUUGACCCCCUGAGUGCCGACGCUAACGCAUUAAGUACCCCGCCUGGGGACUACGGCCGCAAGGUUAAA